AUUGAACGCUGGCGGCAUGCCUUACACAUGCAAGUCGAACGGCAGCACGGGAGCUUGCUCCUGGUGGCGAGUGGCGAACGGGUGAGUAAUACAUCGGAACGUACCCUGAAGUGGGGAUAACGUAGCGAAAGUUACGCUAAUACCGCAUAUUCUGUGAGCAGGAAAGAGGGGGAUCGCAAGACCUCUUGCUUUAGGAGCGGCCGAUGUCGGAUUAGCUAGUUGGUGAGGUAAAGGCUCACCAAGGCGACGAUCCGUAGCGGGUCUGAGAGGAUGAUCCGCCACACUGGGACUGAGACACGGCCCAGACUCCUACGGGAGGCAGCAGUGGGGAAUUUUGGACAAUGGGCGCAAGCCUGAUCCAGCCAUGCCGCGUGAGUGAAGGAGGCCUCGGGUUGUAAAGCUCUUCGGUGGGAGAAUUGCACAGGAUAAUACCUUGUGUAGAUGACGGUACCGCAUAAGAAGCACCGGC
rnacentral:rRNA from 1 species